CUCACCUGCCGAAUCAAC
rnacentral:snRNA from 1 species